AGGACGAACGCUGGCGGCGUGCUUAACACAUGCAAGUCGAGCGGAAAGGCCCUUCGGGGUACUCGAGCGGCGAACGGGUGAGUAACACGUGAGCAACCUGCCCCUGGCUCUGGGAUAGCCUCCGGAAACGGGGAUUAAUACCGGAUAUUCACUGUCUCCUGCAUGGGGGGUGGUGGAAAGUUUUUCGGCUAGGGUGGGGCUCGCGGCCUAUCAGCUUGUUGGGGGGGUGACGGCCCACCAAGGCGACGACGGGUAGCCGGCCUGAGAGGGCGACCGGCCACGACUGGGACUGAGACACGGCCCAGACUCCUACGGGAGGCAGCAGUGGGGAAUAUUGCGCAAUGGGCGGAAGCCUGACGCAGCGACGCCGCGUGCGGGAUGAAGGCCUUCGGGUUGUAAACCGCUUUCACCAGGGACGAAGCGGAAGUGACGGUACCUGGGGAAGAAGCGCCGGCUAACUACGUGCCAGCAGCCGC
rnacentral:rRNA from 1 species